AUUGAACGCUGGCGGCAUGCCUUACACAUGCAAGUCGAACGGCAGCACGGACUUCGGUCUGGUGGCGAGUGGCGAACGGGUGAGUAAUGUAUCGGAACGUACCUUUCAGUGGGGGAUAACGUAGCGAAAGUUACGCUAAUACCGCAUAUUCUGUGAGCAGGAAAGCAGGGGAUCGCAAGACCUUGCGCUGAUUGAGCGGCCGAUAUCAGAUUAGCUAGUUGGUGGGGUAAAGGCCUACCAAGGCUACGAUCUGUAGCGGGUCUGAGAGGAUGAUCCGCCACACUGGAACUGAGACACGGUCCAGACUCCUACGGGAGGCAGCAGUGGGGAAUUUUGGACAAUGGGGGCAACCCUGAUCCAGCCAUGCCGCGUGAGUGAAGAAGGCCUUCGGGUUGUAAAGCUCUUUCGGCCGGGAAGAAAUCGCAUCAGCUAAUACCUGGUGUGGAUGACGGUACCGGAAUAAGAAGCACCGGCUAACUACGUGCCAGCAGCCGCGGUAAUACGUAGGGUGCGAGCGUUAAUCGGAAUUACUGGGCGUAAAGCGUGCGCAGGCGGUUGUGUAAGACAGGCGUGAAAUCCCCGGGCUCAACCUGGGAACUGCGCUUGUGACUGCACAGCUAGAGUACGGCAGAGGGGGGUGGAAUUCCACGUGUAGCAGUGAAAUGCGUAGAGAUGUGGAGGAACACCGAUGGCGAAGGCAGCCCCCUGGGCCGAUACUGACGCUCAUGCACGAAAGCGUGGGUAGCAAACAGGAUUAGAUACCCUGGUAGUCCACGCCCUAAACGAUGUCAACUAGGUGUUGGGUGGGUAAAACCAUUUAGUACCGUAGCUAACGCGUGAAGUUGACCGCCUGGGGAGUACGGCCGCAAGGUUAAAACUCAAAGGAAUUGACGGGGACCCGCACAAGCGGUGGAUGAUGUGGAUUAAUUCGAUGCAACGCGAAAAACCUUACCUACCCUUGACAUGUCCAGAAGCCCGAAGAGAUUUGGGUGUGCCCGAAAGGGAACUGGAACACAGGUGCUGCAUGGCUGUCGUCAGCUCGUGUCGUGAGAUGUUGGGUUAAGUCCCGCAACGAGCGCAACCCUUGUCGUUAAUUGCCAUCAUUUAGUUGGGCACUUUAACGAGACUGCCGGUGACAAACCGGAGGAAGGUGGGGAUGACGUCAAGUCCUCAUGGCCCUUAUGGGUAGGGCUUCACACGUCAUACAAUGGUCGGUACAGAGGGUUGCCAAGCCGCGAGGUGGAGCCAAUCCCAGAAAGCCGAUCGUAGUCCGGAUUGCAGGCUGCAACUCGCCUGCAUGAAGUCGGAAUCGCUAGUAAUCGCGGAUCAGCAUGUCGCGGUGAAUACGUUCCCGGGUCU
rnacentral:rRNA from 1 species